rnacentral:rRNA from 2 species
GUGCUUGCACCUGAUUGAUUUUGGUCGCCAACGAGUGGCGGACGGGUGAGUAACACGUAGGUAACCUGCCCAGAAGCGGGGGACAACAUUUGGAAACAGAUGCUAAUACCGCAUAACAGCGUUGUUCGCAUGAACAACGCUUAAAAGAUGGCUUCUCGCUAUCACUUCUGGAUGGACCUGCGGUGCAUUAGCUUGUUGGUGGGGUAACGGCCUACCAAGGCGAUGAUGCAUAGCCGAGUUGAGAGACUGAUCGGCCACAAUGGGACUGAGACACGGCCCAUACUCCUACGGGAGGCAGCAGUAGGGAAUCUUCCACAAUGGGCGCAAGCCUGAUGGAGCAACACCGCGUGAGUGAAGAAGGGUUUCGGCUCGUAAAGCUCUGUUGUUAAAGAAGAACACGUAUGAGAGUAACUGUUCAUACGUUGACGGUAUUUAACCAGAAAGUCACGGCUAACUACGUGCCAGCAGCCGCGGUAAUACGUAGGUGGCAAGCGUUAUCCGGAUUUAUUGGGCGUAAAGAGAGUGCAGGCGGUUUUCUAAGUCUGAUGUGAAAGCCUUCGGCUUAACCGGAGAAGUGCAUCGGAAACUGGAUAACUUGAGUGCAGAAGAGGGUAGUGGAACUCCAUGUGUAGCGGUGGAAUGCGUAGAUAUAUGGAAGAACACCAGUGGCGAAGGCGGCUACCUGGUCUGCAACUGACGCUGAGACUCGAAAGCAUGGGUAGCGAACAGGAUUAGAUACCCUGGUAGUCCAUGCCGUAAACGAUGAGUGCUAGGUGUUGGAGGGUUUCCGCCCUUCAGUGCCGGAGCUAACGCAUUAAGCACUCCGCCUGGGGAGUACGACCGCAAGGUUGAAACUCAAAGGAAUUGACGGGGGCCCGCACAAGCGGUGGAGCAUGUGGUUUAAUUCGAAGCUACGCGAAGAACCUUACCAGGUCUUGACAUCUUGCGCCAACCCUAGAGAUAGGGCGUUUCCUUCGGGAACGCAAUGACAGGUGGUGCAUGGUCGUCGUCAGCUCGUGUCGUGAGAUGUUGGGUUAAGUCCCGCAACGAGCGCAACCCUUGUUACUAGUUGCCAGCAUUAAGUUGGGCACUCUAGUGAGACUGCCGGUGACAAACCGGAGGAAGGUGGGGACGACGUCAGAUCAUCAUGCCCCUUAUGACCUGGGCUACACACGUGCUACAAUGGACGGUACAACGAGUCGCGAACUCGCGAGGGCAAGCAAAUCUCUUAAAACCGUUCUCAGUUCGGACUGCAGGCUGCAACUCGCCUGCACGAAGUCGGAAUCGCUAGUAAUCGCGGAUCAGCAUGCCGCGGUGAAUACGUUCCCGGGCCUUGUACACACCGCCCGUCACACCAUGAGAGUUUGUAACACCCAAAG